rnacentral:rRNA from 1 species
GACGAACGCUGGCGGCGUGCUUAACACAUGCAAGUCGAGCGACGCUCUUCCUUCGGGGAGAUGACGGAGCGGCGAACGGGUGAGUAACACGUGGGCAACCUGCCCCUAGCCCUGGGACAACACCGGGAAACCGGUGCUAAUACCGGAUACGACAUCGAGCGGCAUCUCUCGAUGUGGAAAGUUUUUUCGGCUAGGGAUGGGCCCGCGGCCUAUCAGCUUGUUGGUGGGGUAAGGGCCCACCAAGGCGACGACGGGUAGCCGGCCUGGGAGGGCGACCGGCCACACUGGGACUGAGACACGGCCCGGACUCCUACGGGAGGCAGCAGUGGGGAAUAUUGCGCAAGGGGCGAAAGCCGGACGCAGCGACGCCGCGUGAGGGAUGACGGCCUUCGGGUUGUAAACCUCUUUCAGCAGGGACGAAUUCAGACGUUACCUGCAGAAGAAGCACCGGCCAACUACGUG